GUUGUUACAAAGUGAUAGAGACAACAUACUGCCCUCUCUCCAUACUGUCAAAAUUUUCCUUCUUGUGAAAGACAUGGCAGCAGCAUCUUUUCUCUUCAGCAUUGCAAACUCCAUCUUAGGUAAAUUAGGAUCUCAUGCUGUUCAAGAGUUACUUGAUUUGGGGUGUUAAAAAUGAGCUCAAAAAAAUUCAACAAAACCUUAAUCACUAUCAGAGAGGUACUGUUGGAUGCUGAGGAUCAAGAAUCCAAGAAUCAUGAGUUAAAAGAACUCAAAGAUGUUCUUUAUGAUGCUGAUGAUUUUCUUGAUGAAAUUCAGACUUAUGUACAACAGAGUCAAAGGUUAAAACCAAAGGUUUGUUUUUUAUUCUCACCCUUUAAAUUUCUACUUUUUAGAUAUAGAAUGGGUUAUAAGGUGAAAGAAAUAAGGGAGAGAUUAGAUAGUAUUGCAGCUGAUAAGGCUAAAUUCCACUUAUCUGAGAGAACAAUUGCCUUAGAAAUGAAUAAAAGGGAUUUGACUUAUUCAUUUAUUCUUCCUUCUGAUGUUGUUGGAAGGAGGAAUGAGAGUGAAGAGGUUGUUAAAGUUCUGAUGCAAAAGGGUGUUUUUUAUGAUCAGUGUCUCUCUGUGGUAUCAAUUGUUGGGAUUGGUGUGUGGGGAAAACUAUACUUGCUAAGUUAGUGUAUAGAGAUGAGAGGUUAGUAAAGAACUUUCCUGUGAGGAUUUGGUUAUGUGCCUCACAGGAUUUCGACGUUGCAAAAUUGUCUAGAAGCAACGUUAAUUUGGCGAGUGGUGCCUCUUGUGAUAACUUUAAUGUUGAACCAGUCCACGCUUCGCUUCAAGCUGCUUUGAGGGGGAAGAGGUUUUUACUCAUCGUUGAUGAUGUUUGGUGUCGGGAUCAUUCCAAGUGGUUGGAAUUGAGAAGUUUAUUGAUAGUUGGAGCGAGUGGAAGCAAGGUUGUCAUAACUACUCGUAGUGAUUAUAUUGUCUCGAUGAUGGAAUAUGUCGUUACAUAUAACUUGAAGGAGCUUCCACAUGAGGAUUGCCUCUCUUUGUUUCUAAAGUGGGCGUUUAGGAACGGACAAGAGAGGCUUUUCCGAACCUUACUAAAAUUGGAGAAGAUAUUGUGAAGAAAUGUAAAGGAGUGCCUUUGGCAGUAAAGACUCUCGGAAGCAUGAUGUAUGUGUCAACAGAUGAACGGGAAUGGUUAAGAGUGAGAGACAACGAGAUAUGGCAACUAAAUCAGGAAGGUGAUGAUAUCUUACCUGCACUAAGGUUAAGCUAUAAUCAGUUGCCAUAUUACUUGAAGCAAUGCUUUGCUUACUGCUCAAUAUUUCCCAAGGGUCAAGAAAUCGUGAGCAGUAUGCUGAUUCAGUUGUGGUCGGCUCAAGGGCUAUUACAUUCAUCUAACGAAAGCCAAGAGUUGGAAGAUGUUGGUGUCCACGAUGUGAAAGAGUUGUGCUCGAGAUCUCUUUUCUUAAGAGGUUGAAGCGUAUGACUCGUUCAUAAGUAUUUAAAUGCAUGAUCUUGUGCAUGACCUUGCAGUAUUAGUUGCACAAACUGAUUGUUGUGUCAUAAAAAACAACACUGAUAGUAUCACUGAAAAGGUUCAUCAUGUAACACUUUUCAGUUAUAGUCCUUCAGAGGAAAGCAUUCCUGGAAUUUUAUGUAAACAGAAGAGAAUUCAGACCAUUUUUGCUCCGUCUGAAGGAAAUGAAAGAUAUGCUGCUCUUUUGGUUGGUUAAUGCAUUUCAAGAUUCAAGUACUUGAGGGUGUUAGAUUUACGCCAUUCAAGUCUUGAGACGCUGCCAGAUUCUAUCGGAAACAUGAAGCAUCUAAGGUACAUUGAUUUUAGUGGCAGCAAUAACAUCCAAAUGCUUCCCUCAAACAUCUGCAAGUUGCCUAAUCUGCAAACUUUACGGAUUGUUCUCUGCACGAAACUUCAGAAAUUACCAAGGGAGCUGGGAAUAUUUGGUCAGUCUAAGACAUCUGUACUUGACAACCAAAGAGCAGAAUUUGCCGGAGAAAGGAUUGGGGUCCUUGGCACUUCUUCAAUCCCUGUCCAUAUUAGGAUGUGAAAAUCUUGUAUCUCUAUUUGAAGGAAUACAGAAGCUCACGAAACUUAGGACUCUAGUUAUCGGUGAUUGUCCGAGGCUUAAAACUCUGCCAAGAGGCAUAGUUCAUUUAUCUGCCUUAGAGAGCUUUAUGAUUGUCAACUGUGAAGAGCUUAUGUUGUCCGAUUGGCAAGAUUUUGAGGGUCUAAAGAGAAUCCGGUCACUUGUAAUCGGAGGACUUCCACAUUUGGUGUCUUUGCCAGAGUGGUUGAAAGGGGAUUCUAAUAGUCUAAAGUUCAUUCGCAUCUCGACAUGUCCAAGCUUCAUAGCAAUGCCUGAUUGGCUGGAAAACUCCACGUCCCUCGAGAAGCUUGAGAUAACAGGGUGCCCAAAAUUCUCAUCUCUCCCGGAUAGCAUGAGUUGUCUUACUACAUUGAGGAUGUUGAAAAUUCAGAAAUGUCCUCAAUUAACUAGACGAUGCGAAAAUGAUGCUGGAGAGAAUUGGAGAAAGAUUGCUCACAUCCAGAAAAUUCAUCUCAAUGAUAUCACAAUAUAUAACUAGGUGAGAUGAAUGUGUCUACAUCACAUGUAAGUUCAGGGAUCAUAGCUCAGAAUGACCAUGACCUACUGAAGAGUGAAGAUCACAUCAUUUUAUCUCUUAUUCAUUUUCAAAACAAUUUUUUUUGUUUAAACAGCAUGUAUGUAUUCUAAACUCACUGCUCGACCAAUUCAAAGUCGCAUCUGGUAGGCCAUUAAGAGGGGUAUAUAUGUUAAAGCUUGUUGAGAAUAUGUCUCAGGAUGUUGCAGUAAUAAAUCAGUUAUUAUUAGAGUCCUAUGUGACUUGAAUUUAAGAGUUAGUUUUUUAUUUAUUAUUUGGAUUUACUGAUAAGUUAGUAACAUAUUUUUCUAUUUUUAGUUAGAAAUUAUAUCUAUAAAUGUAAGUCUUUGGAUUAUUAAUAAACUAAUUUCCUUUGAUAAUAUUGCAA